rnacentral:rRNA from 1 species
AUUGAACGCUGGCGGCAUGCCUUACACAUGCAAGUCGAACGGCAGCACGGGAGCUUGCUCCUGGUGGCGAGUGGCGAACGGGUGAGUAAUACAUCGGAACGUACCCUGAAGUGGGGGAUAACGUAGCGAAAGUUACGCUAAUACCGCAUAUUCUGUGAGCAGGAAAGAGGGGGAUCGCAAGACCUCUUGCUUUAGGAGCGGCCGAUGUCGGAUUAGCUAGUUGGUGAGGUAAAGGCUCACCAAGGCGACGAUCCGUAGCGGGUCUGAGAGGAUGAUCCGCCACACUGGGACUGAGACACGGCCCAGACUCCUACGGGAGGCAGCAGUAGGGAAUUUUGGACAAUGGGCGCAAGCCUGAUCCAGCCAUGCCGCGUGAGUGAAGAAGGCCUUC